rnacentral:rRNA from 1 species
UACAGAGGCCUCGAGCGUUAGGCGGAAUCACUGGGCUUAAAGCGUGUGUAGGCGGAUGCCUAAGUACCUUGUGAAAUCCCACGGCUCACCCGUGGAACGGCUGGGUAUACUGGGUGUUUUGAGCCACUUAGGGGCUGCCGGAACAAAUGGUGGAGCGGUGAAAUGCGUAGAUAUCGGAAGGAACGCCGGUGGCGAAAGCGGUCUGCUGGACCUCUACUGACGCUGAGGCGCGAAAGUGUGGGGAGCGAACAGG